rnacentral:rRNA from 1 species
GACGAACGCUGGCGGCGUGCUUAACACAUGCAAGUCGAACGGUGAACUCCGCUUGCGGGGGAAUCAGUGGCGAACGGGUGAGUAACACGUGGGCAACCUGCCCUCAGCUCUGGGAUAACUCCAAGAAAUUGGGGCUAAUACCGGAUAUGACCGCUGACCGCAUGGUCUGGUGGUGGAAAGAUUUAUCGGCUGGGGAUGGGCCCGCGGCCUAUCAGCUUGUUGGUGGGGUAGUGGCCUACCAAGGCGACGACGGGUAGCCGGCCUGAGAGGGUGACCGGCCACACUGGGACUGAGACACGGCCCAGACUCCUACGGGAGGCAGCAGUGGGGAAUAUUGCGCAAUGGGCGAAAGCCUGACGCAGCGACGCCGCGUGGGGGAUGACGGCCUUCGGGUUGUAAACCUCUUUCAGCAGGGACGAAGCGAAAGUGACGGUACCUGCAGAAGAAGCACCGGCCAACUACGUG